rnacentral:rRNA from 1 species
CAACCUGCCGUCUACUCUUGGACAGCCUUCUGAAAGGAAGAUUAAUACAAGAUGGCAUCAUGAGUCCGCAUGUUCACAUGAUUAAAGGUAUUCCGGUAGACGAUGGGGAUGCGUUCCAUUAGAUAGUAGGCGGGGUAACGGCCCACCUAGUCUUCGAUGGAUAGGGGUUCUGAGAGGAAGGUCCCCCACAUUGGAACUGAGACACGGUCCAAACUCCUACGGGAGGCAGCAGUGAGGAAUAUUGGUCAAUGGGCGAGAGCCUGAACCAGCCAAGUAGCGUGAAGGAUGACUGCCCUAUGGGUUGUAAACUUCUUUUAUAAAGGAAUAAAGUCGGGUAUGGAUACCCGUUUGCAUGUACUUUAUGAAUAAGGAUCGGCUAACUCCGUGCCAGCAGCCGCGGUAAUACGGAGGAUCCGAGCGUUAUCCGGAUUUAUUGGGUUUAAAGGGAGCGUANAUGGAUGUUUAAGUCGGUUGUGAAAGUUUGCGGCUCAACCGUAAAAUUGCAGUUGAUACUGGAUAUCUUGAGUGCAGUUGAGGCAGGCGGAAUUCGUGGUGUAGCGGUGAAAUGCUUAGAUAUCACGAAGAACUCCGAUUG